AAGGAUACCUAUAAAGACGAAGCACUACAAAAUUGAAAAACAGAAUACAAAAAAGUAACAACACUUAAUUUACUAUUAUUAUUAUUAUUCAAGUAUGAAUAAUCCAAUGCAACAAGUAAAUUUUAUGAAACACAAAGG
rnacentral:ribozyme from 14 species